rnacentral:rRNA from 1 species
UACAGAGGGCCCAAGCGUUACUGAGAAUCACUGGGGUUAAAGGGUGCGUAGGUGGUCCGUUAAGUUCGUUGUGAAAUCCCUGGGCUCAACCCAGGAAAUGCUUCGAAUACUGGCGGACUUGAGGCUAGUAGGGGUCACUGGAACUGACGGUGGAGCGGUGAAAUGCGUAGAUAUCGUCAGGAACGCCAAUGGUGAAGACAGGUGACUGGGCUAGUUCUGACACUGAGGCACGAAAGCGUGGGGAUCAAACGGG